GAGGUGCUUGCACCUUAUCUUAGCGGCGGACGGGUGAGUAAUGCUUAGGAAUCUGCCUAUUAGUGGGGGACAACAUUCCGAAAGGAUGCUAAUACCGCAUACGUCCUACGGGAGAAAGCAGGGGAUCUUCGGACCUUGCGCUAAUAGAUGAGCCUAAGUCGGAUUAGCUAGUUGGUGGGGUAAAGGCCUACCAAGGCGACGAUCUGUAGCGGGUCUGAAGGAUGAUCCGCCACACUGGGACUGAGACACGCCCAGACUCCUAC
rnacentral:rRNA from 1 species